UUUCAGUCGUGAGGAAGGUGUUAAGGUUAAUAUUCUUAGCAAUUGACGUUAGCGACAGAAGAAGCACCGGCUAACUCCGUGCCAGCAGCCGCGGUAAUACGGAGGGUGCGAGCGUUAAUCGGAAUUACUGGGCGUAAAGGGCACGCAGGCGGUUAAUUAAGUUGGAUGUGAAAUCCCCGGGCUUAACCUGGGAAUGGCAUUCAAGACUGGUUAGCUAGAGUCUUGUAGAGGGGGGUAGAAUUCCAUGUGUAGCGGUGAAAUGCGUAGAGAUGUGGAGGAAUACCGGUGGCGAAGGCGGCCCCCUGGACAGAGACUGACGCUCAUGUGCGAAAGCGUGGGGAGCAAACAGGAUUAGAUACCCUGGUAGUCCACGCUGUAAACGAUGUCGAUUUGGAGGUUGUGGUCAUGAACUGUGGCCUCCGGAGCUAACGCGGUAAAUCGACCGCCUGGGGAGUACGGCCGCAAGGUUAAAACUCAAAUGAAUUGACGGGGGCCCGCACAAGCGGUGGAGCAUGUGGUUUAAUUCGAUGC
rnacentral:rRNA from 1 species